CUAUAGCACCACAAAAUGACGAUAUCUCUCAUCUAGCAUAACCAUAACUAUCAUACACUAUUUACUUGAACUACCUUUAAUAAAUUUAAGUCAAGCACAAUAACUUUUUAUCUCAAUCCUUCAAAUAUCAUGAUAUAUAAUCAUAUGCAUUUAAGAAGCAGCAAUAAUAUGUGUAAGGCCCAAUUUUGCCCGAGCCUAAUAAAAUCAAACUUAAAUUAAACUUAGUACAUUACUCAGUUACAAGUUCAAACCAUUUUGGCCCAACCUAAUCUCAUUACACUAGUUCAACCUGAACACAAAAAAAAAAAAACUUUAGCCACCUAGUGCCACCCCUAUUGUCUGCCACCAGCACACCUGCUCCACUUACACCUGCAAAAGCCAAAAGAAGAAAAAAAAACAAAAAGGGACAGAAAAGAAGCAAGAAAACAAGGAAAUAGACAAUAGCAAAUCCAUUGUAUUUCGGUUAUAAAGCCUGAAAUCCCAGAUUUAAAAAAAAAACACGAAUAUGGAAAUAAAAGAGAGGGAAGAGAUGGUACUAAAAAAAAGAAAAAAGAGAGAGGAGAUCCAAAAAUUGUAUCACACGCAUAUUUUCAAAGAAUCAAACAGAAAAAACACACCGAAGGUUGAUCUCCGAUUUUAUUCUCUUUAUUUUCGUUUUUCAUUUUCUUGCUUCUUUAAUAUUUCUUUUAUUUUUUAUACAAAUCUAAUUAAACAAAGAUACACAAAAAAAAAACGCAAAUAAAAGGAAAGAGGAGGGAUUCUCACCAGAUCCGGCCCUGUCGCCGCGUCGUCGGAGCCCUCCCCUCCGUUCGGCGUGGUUGAGUCAAAAAGGGGGGAUCGAUUGUAUUUUGAAAAAAAACGUUUGUAAAUAGGGGGCAUUUUCUUUUGAAAAAAGAAAAAAAAUAGAGAAAAAAAAACUUCAAAGUUUUCGACCUUUGUUUUAAGUUCUUGUUCAUUUUACUUUUAUUAUUAUUAUUAUUUUACUCUUAUUUUAUAUUUAUAUACAUAUGCGACAAAGGAAAAGAAAGAAAAAGACUCACCGGAGUCGUUUGGCCUUCUCGUUGUCGGAAGAGCUCCUCCCCGAUGUUAAAACCGUUCUAAGGAGAGGACAAAGUUUUUUUUAAAAACAUUUUUGGGCUAGGAGUGCUUGAUCCUCAAAUCCAUCUGAAAACGGGUAAAAAAUGGGCCUUUUCGCAUUCUCCGGCCACCGUGGACUGCAGCGCCGUCUCCGGCGACCGACGGCCGCUACGGUGGUCUGGUGACCGAACCUUGGCCGGAUGUUUAGAGGCUGAGAGAGUUGAGAGCCUUCUCUUUAUUUUGAAAAAUGAAUGUAGGAUGAUAGGGUGGUGUUUUAACUUUUUUUUUGUUUUUUUUUAAAAAAGGGUUUUUUUAUACUAUAAAAGAGAAAUAAAAUAUGGUUUUAAUUAAUAAUAAA
rnacentral:lncRNA from 1 species